CCAGUCCCAGUUCUCAUCUAUAUAGGUCGACACUGUCUCCAAACCAUUGUCAAUCUCUAGCACUUGUAUUUAUUUCUUGAAAGACGUCUUGCCAACCUACCAACCAUGCCAAAACCGAACUUGAUUCUCCAUUUCCAUCCAUUGAACACUACCUCUCUAGCUUUCAACAAUCAGCGCCAUGUCAAAAAAGCAAUUGCUCUCGGUUUCACAUUCAAGUAUUU
rnacentral:lncRNA from 1 species